rnacentral:lncRNA from 1 species
GUCACAGCAUGCAGAACAGUCCAGCAAUGAUAGAUCUGAAGAUUGUAAAGAAUUUAAAGACCUCCACUGUUCCAAGGAUUCUAUCCUAGCUGAGGAAGAACCUGAGUUCCCUUCUACUUCUAUCUCUGCAGUUCUGUCUGACUUAGCUGACUUGAGAAGCUGUGAUGGCCAACCUUUGCCCUCCCAGGACGCCGAGGUUGCUUUAUCUCUCAGUUGUGGCCAUUCCAGAGGACUCUUUAGUCAUAUGCAGAAACAUGACAUUUUAGAUACCCUGUGUAGGACCAUC